AUCUCUUAUGAUGAUUCAAAAUUAAUAACUUUCGUUCUUCUGAGAUUUUUCGUGCUGAAAGUUUUUUGGAGACCUGAACUGAAGAGAU
rnacentral:snoRNA from 1 species